rnacentral:rRNA from 1 species
AAGCGGCCGUAGCUUGAUAAUAGGGUCCCUUGAGAAAUCCGCCGGCUUAACUGGCGGGCGUUCAGGGGAAACUUGUUUUCUAGGGACCGGGAGAGGUGAGGGGUACUGCCGGGGUAGGAGUGAAAUCCUGUAAUCCCGGUGGGACCACCUAUGGCGAAGGCAUCUCACCAGAACGGGUCCGACAGUGAGGGACGAAAGCUGGGGGAGCAAACCGGAUUAGAUACCCGGGUAGUCCCAGCUGUAAACUAUGUGCGUUAGGUGUGUCAGUGACCACGUGUCACUGAGGUGCCGAAGGGAAACCGUGAAACGCACCGCCUGGGGAGUACGGUCGCAAGGCUGAAACUUAAAGGAAUUGGCGGGGGAGCACCACAACGGGUGGAGCCUGCGGUUUAAUCGGACUCAACGCCGGGAAUCUCACCGGAUAAGACAGCUGAAUGAUAGUCGGGAUGAAGACUCUACUUGACUAGCUGAGAGGAGGUGCAUGGCCGUCGUCAGUUCGUACUGUGAAGCAUCCUGUUUAGUCAGGCAACGAGCGAGACCCACGCGAGCAGUUGCCAGCUUGACCUUCGGGUCGAUGGGGACACUGCUCGGACCGCCUCUGCUAAAGGGGAGGAAGGACUGGGCAACGGUAGGUCAGCAUGCCCCGAAUUAUCCGGGCUACACGCGGGCUACAAUGGACAGGACAAUGAGUUUCGACACCGAGAGGUGAGGAUAAUCUUCUAACCCUGUCCCAAGUUCGGAUUGCGGGUUGUAACUCACCCGCAUGAAGCUGGAAUCCGUAGUAAUCGCGUUUCAACAUACCGCGGUGAAUAUGUCCCUGCUCCUUGCACACACCGCCCGUAA